rnacentral:miRNA from 1 species
UCGACAAUGUCACUUCCUGCUU